AGAGUUUGAUCCUGGCUCAGGACGAACGCUGGCGGCGUGCUUAACACAUGCAAGUCGAACGGAAAGGCCCUGCUUUUGUGGGGUGCUCGAGUGGCGAACGGGUGAGUAACACGUGAGUAACCUGCCCUUGACUUUGGGAUAACUUCAGGAAACUGGGGCUAAUACCGGAUAGGAGCUCCUGCUGCAUGGUGGGGGUUGGAAAGUUUCGGCGGUUGGGGAUGGACUCGCGGCUUAUCAGCUUGUUGGUGGGGUAGUGGCUUACCAAGGCUUUGACGGGUAGCCGGCCUGAGAGGGUGACCGGCCACAUUGGGACUGAGAUACGGCCCAGACUCCUACGGGAGGCAGCAGUGGGGAAUAUUGCACAAUGGGCGGAAGCCUGAUGCAGCAACGCCGCGUGCGGGAUGACGGCCUUCGGGUUGUAAACCGCUUUCGCCUGUGACGAAGCGUGAGUGACGGUAAUGGGUAAAGAAGCACCGGCUAACUACGUGCCAGCAGCCGCGGUGAUACGUAGGGUGCGAGCGUUGUCCGGAUUUAUUGGGCGUAAAGGGCUCGUAGGUGGUUGAUCGCGUCGGAAGUGUAAUCUUGGGGCUUAACCCUGAGCGUGCUUUCGAUACGGGUUGACUUGAGGAAGGUAGGGGAGAAUGGAAUUCCUGGUGGAGCGGUGGAAUGCGCAGAUAUCAGGAGGAACACCAGUGGCGAAGGCGGUUCUCUGGGCCUUUCCUGACGCUGAGGAGCGAAAGCGUGGGGAGCGAACAGGCUUAGAUACCCUGGUAGUCCACGCUGUAAACGG
rnacentral:rRNA from 1 species